rnacentral:tRNA from 1 species
GGAAGAUUAGCUCAGCUGGGAGAGCGUUAGCCUUUACAAGAAAUGUCACGGGUUCGAGUCCCUUAUCUUCCACCA